rnacentral:rRNA from 1 species
UUCUGACCUCGAAUCAGGUGGGACUACCCGCUGAACUUAAGCAUAUCAAUAAGCGGAGGAAAAGAAACUAACAAGGAUUCCCCUAGUAACGGCGAGUGAAGUGGGAUGAGCUCAAAUUUAAAAUCUGGUAGUCUUUGGCUGCCCGAGUUGUAAUCUAGAGAAGUGUUUUCUGUGC